rnacentral:rRNA from 1 species
AACCCGAAGGCGCAAUGAAAGUGAAAGUCGGCAUUGCCUGGCCGACUGAGGCGGGAUCCGUCCGGGAAUCGCUGCAGCUCUCGUCAAGGGGGCUGUGGGAGCCCGGCGGCGCACCGCCGGCCCGUCUCGACCGCUUCUCGUCGGCGAGGCGGAGCAAGAGCGCACACGUUGGGACCCGAAAGAUGGUGAACUAUGCUCGGGCAGGACGAAGCCAGAGGAACUCUGGUGGAGGUCCGUAGCGAUUCUGACGUGCAAAUCGAUCGUCGGACCUGAGUAUAGGGGCGAAAGACUAAUCGAACCGUCU